CCCUUAGAUGCCCUGGGCUGCACGCGCGCUACACUGAUGUGUCCAGUAAGCACCUAACCUAUUCCGAGAGGAGCGGGUAACCUUAGCAAAGCACAUCGUGAUGGGGAUAGAUUAUUGCAAUUAUUAGUCUUGAACGAGGAAUUCCUAGUAAGCACAAGUCAUCAGCUUGUGUUGAUUACGUCCCUGCCCUUUGUACACACCGCCCGUCGCUCCUACCGAUUGAAUGUUCCGGUGAGCUCUUCGGACUGCGCGGUCUGCAGUUUCUGCGUUCCGUGCGGAAAGUUGUGCAAACCUUAACAUUUAGAGGAAGGAGAAGUCGUAACA
rnacentral:rRNA from 1 species